AUGAAAGGCAAACUUUCUUACCAACAAGCAGAACAAAACAGCGGUCGGUAACGUGUGCCGAGGCGAAACGACUCAGAGGAGACUUUCAUAGGAACCCGAAGAAGAAUGAGAGACAGGAAGGAUCUUUCAGACGGAAGACGCCGAGUGAUGGACGGAAGACGCCGAGUGAUGGGCGGAAGACGCCGAGUGAUGGACGGAAGACGCCGAGUGAUGGACGGAAGACGCCGAGUGAUGGGCGGAAGACGCCGAGUGAUGGACGGAAGACGCCGAGUGAUGGACGGAAGACGCCGAGUGAUGGACUGAGGUCUGGAUAUCAGUUCAACACAUAUUGCAGUGGACAGAAUCAAACAGAACAAGACUCUGCCAUAACCUGCUAGUAAGAGAGAGACAGUGUGAAAGACUGUUUGUAAGUGCUUUCAACACACACACACACACACACACACACACACACACACACACACACACACACACACCUGUGUUAAAACGCUAAGUGUGGCUGAAUAAACUGGAAUCUCUCGAGGCUUUCUUGACUCCCUGACACAAUGAGACUCUAAAGCAAGCUUGAGUCCAUCUGAAUGAAACUUUGGGUGUUUUCCUCCUCAGUGCAGUUCACUUACCGUAAGAAGAUAAAAACACAGGGAUCAGUGUCUGAGACUGAGCGAGAUGGUUUCAGUCCGUUUCUAAAAGACCUCUAGUUUGGUUCGAUUGCAUUGUCUCUGUCUCCUUUAACUCGACCGCAGGAAGUCAAUCGAUCAU